rnacentral:rRNA from 1 species
AGAAUCAACGCUGGCGGCGUGCCUAACACAUGCAAGUCGCACGAGAAAGCGGGAGCAAUCCUGCAAGUAAAGCGGCGUACGGGUGAGUAACACGUGAAUCAUCUACCUUCGAGUGUGGAAUAACUGAGAGAAAUCUUAGCUAAUACCGCAUAAUACUUACGAGUCAAAGCAGCAAUGCGCUUGAAGAGGAGUUCGCGGCAGAUUAGUUAGUUGGCGGGGUAAUGGCCCACCAAGACGAUGAUCUGUA